rnacentral:rRNA from 1 species
UACGAAGGGGGCUAGCGUUGCUCGGAAUCACUGGGCGUAAAGGGUGCGUAGGCGGGUCUUUAAGUCAGGGGUGAAAUCCUGGAGCUCAACUCCAGAACUGCCUUUGAUACUGAGGAUCUUGAGUACGGGAGAGGUGAGUGGAACUGCGAGUGUAGAGGUGAAAUUCGUAGAUAUUCGCAAGAACACCAGUGGCGAAGGCGGCUCACUGGCCCGUAACUGACGCUGAGGCACGAGAGCGUGGGGAGCAAACAGG